ensembl:lncRNA
GUGAGCGAGCCCAGAGUCGCGUACCUCCGGGCUCUGGCCGCUUCUUUCCUCUCAAGCCGACCUUCGCGCUUGCUUCCUGCCGCCCCGUCCCGACCCGGGGCUGGCGACAAUCCCGCGGUGGCUGGUGACGUUCGCUCCGGCUUGGCCGAGCACAGGAAGCCCGCGCCUACGGUCGUGCGACCCUUUUAUAACCCACUUGUGACUCAUAACCGACCGGGCGGCUUUUCUGUCACCCCCCCCCCUUCCCCUCCUCCUGCCUCUUCUUGGAACCCACAGCUUGAAAAACUUUUUUUUUCUUUUUAAAGGAAAAGUCGAAAAAGUCCAGCGCCCCGAGGAGGGGUGUUUUCCCCUUUCCCUUUCUCGUGGGUCACUCGGUGUGUGUUUUCUCUUACACCCGCCAUGUACUUUCCUGACCCGCGCAGCAAGGCUGGGGCGCCAACCUUUGUUCGCAAUGAAAAGGAAACGCAUUCAAAUUACGGCCAGACGUUGCCGAGCUUUCAGUCGGCUGGAGGGGAAGUGCUGCUUCUUACAACUGGCUGGCUGGGGAGUCUACACCCUGCUUGUAGUUGAGAAAGAAAAGUGAAGCAAGUGGAAAGUUCUCCCUUCCUGCUCCUACUGAUUCAGCCAGAGGCAAGCGGUCCCUAACCGAGGAAGGAAUGUCUUCUAGGGACGGUCUGUGUGGCCACGCCCUUAUUUCCCUCAGAGGUCAGCCUUUGGUUUUGGAAUGCACUAAAGGGUUGAGAAAAUUUGUACCUUCCCUACACCCAGGUAUACUUGGGCAUGCUAAGGAUACAUUUGAAUAGUCGCUAAUUUUGACCACACACAUUUUCCCUCCUGGCCCUCCAGACCCACUCCCAGGACAUGUUCCACCCAGGAGCACUUGGGACUUUAGUCACUCUUUUCAUUUCAUCACCCCAGCCUCUGCUUUCUCCCACCCUACCAGGGUGGGUGGCAUUUUCUUGGAGCGGGCCAUUUGAUAGAUGGGGUGGGGCAGAACAAAGAUGCAAAAGUCUGGCAAGUUUAUACUUAACAAGCUUAGUUGAGUAACUCAUUUAUGAGUCUCAUAACCUUUUAGACUUGAAGAAAUAAGAGAGGGGAGGAUAAGAAUAGACAGUUUCAUCAUCAUGCACUCAUUCCUUUUUAUGGAUAAGACAAGGUCACUGCUGGAUUUCCAGCACAGGUGCCUAUACUUGGAUCUUCCAUCCCAAGUGCAAAAGGCAGUAUUAGUCGGUAUAAAAUUGAUACAAGAAAAUUUAUUUCUAGAUCUCCUGAAUGCAUGGCAGAAUUGAAAACCACAUAGUCAAUUUACAGAGGAUCCAGUCUGGUUAAGGAACUUGGGAGAAUUUUAAGACUAUCCUUUUUCCACGAUUUUUUAUAGCACAUAUUGAUUAUACAGUAGAGUGGUUUUUAUUGUGACCCUUUCAUACACGUGUAUAACAAACUUUAACAAUAUCCUUUCCCUGUUACCUUCCUUUACCCUCUCCUUCCCUCUCUCCCAUCCCUUUCAUCUUUUUAAAUUGUCUACCUUCUACUUUCAUGUCAUCUUUUUUGGUCUAGAUUCCACAUGUAAGAGAAAACGUGAGACCCGUCUUUCCGAAUCUGGCUUAACAUAAUGAUCUUCACUUCCAUCCAUUUUACUGCAGAUGACAUGAUUUCAUUUUCCUUUAUGGCUGAAUAAUACUCUAUUGUAUGCCCUCUGUCCCUUAGGAUUAUGAAGGUUGAAGGAUUAUGAAGGCUUCUUCUGGAUCCCAACAGUGGUGCAACCAUAAUUGGUGCCUGAGGCUAAAAAUGUGGCCUUCAUAAGAUGUUCAGACUUAAUAAAAUGUUUUAUUUUUCACAAAGGAUCAGAGUAUUUUUCCUAUCAUAAUUUAAUUUUUAUUCCUUUCACUGUUCAUAACGUUUUGGAAGCCCAAGUCUGAAGUUUGUUUUUUUUUUCACCCACAAUUCCUUUGUUAAAUGAGUUACUGGCUUAUAGUGUUAUGUGACACUCUUAAAUGCUGGGAUGCCUUCAGAGGAUAAAAGAGUGGUGUAUUUUUUUCUGCUCUCUCCAUCAAAUAGAUGAA